GGUAGGUAAGGGUCACAUGAGUCUAUCGGUGAAAGGAAUCGAAGAACGGAGGUUCGGGGCGAUCUCACCGGCAACAAUGGUGGCGGUGACCGGCGGAGGAAGACGUUGACGUAGCCGGCUGUACAGAGGUUUUGAGGACAAACUUUCUACAUGGGAAUGUGAGAGGAGAAGCAAAGGCUCAAAGUGACGCGCGUGGAAUCCUUUUAUAGUGGCCGAGAAGGGAGAUCGGGUGCGGAUGUCGACGGCCGACAUUCGGGGCACCUCUUUUGGAAACUGCGAUAAUUAGAGAAAACUUCAAAUUGAUUUCCUGAAUGGGUUCCCGAGAUGGUGAGGAUUGAUGGGGUGGUUUCCUUUUGGAGAGAGACGCGCGGAAAGGAAAGAAAUUGAAGAAAGAAAAAAUGGAAAGAAAGGAUUUUUUACGUGCAGAGGAGGAGGAAGCACGAGCUCGUGCUCGUGGCUGGCUGGGGCGCUCGGUGGAGAUGGGCCGGACCAGUUGGGUCGGUCCAUUCUAUUCUUUUUUUUCCAUUUCUUUUUUUUAUUAAUAACUUUUGAUUCCUAACUCCAAAUAAGUCCAAAUAAAUUUCAGAAAAUUUGUAAAUUCAAAUUCUCCAAAGUGUGAACUUUUGGGACUUGAAUCAUUUCAAAAAUAAAAUAAGUAAAAAUACUUUUGCUUAUAUAAAUGUCAUUAGAGCUUUAUAAGUAAUACAUAAAAUAGGUUUUGAAAUCUAUUAUGAAACCUUUGUUUCAUAAAUUAGUUUAAACUCCAAUAAAC
rnacentral:lncRNA from 1 species